GACGGGGGGGGCAAGCGUUGUUCGGAAUUACUGGGCGUAAAGGGCGCGCAGGCGGGCGAUAAAGUCUCUCGUGAAAGCCCACGGCUCAACCUUGGAAUUGCGGUUGAAACUACUUGUCUAGAGUCCGGGAGUGGAGAGUGGAAUUCCCAGUGUAGCGGUGAAAUGCGUAGAUAUUGGGAGGAACGCCGGUGGAGAAGGUGGCUCUCUGGAUCGGUACUGACGCUGCGGCGCGAAAUCUAGUGGACCAAACGGC
rnacentral:rRNA from 1 species